rnacentral:sRNA from 1 species
GGCUGGCUGGGCAGGAGGGGUUGGCGGGGCAGCAGGGCCGCAGCCAUGGGGAGCUUGAAGGACGAGCUGCUCAAAGCCAUCUGGCACGCCUUCACCGCACUCGACCAGGACCACAGCGGCAAGGUCUCCAAGUCCCAGCUCAAGGUCCUUUCCCAUAACCUGUGCACAGUGCUGAAGGUUCCUCAUGACCCGGUUGCCCUUGAAGAGCACUUCAGGGAUGAUGAUGAGGGUCCAGUGUCCAACCAGGGCUACAUGCCUUAUUUAAACAGGUUCAUUCUGGAAAAGGUCCAAGACAACUUUGACAAGAUUGAAUUCAAUAGGAUGUGUUGGACCCUCUGUGUCAAAAAAAACCUCACAAAGAAUCCCCUGCUCAUUACAGAAGAAGAUGCAUUUAAAAUAUGGGUUAUUUUCAACUUUUUAUCUGAAGACAAGUAUCCAUUAAUUAUUGUGUCAGAAGAGAUUGAAUACCUGCUUAAGAAGCUUACAGAAGCUAUGGGAGGAGGUUGGCAGCAAGAACAAUUUGACCAUUAUAAAAUCAACUUUGAUGACAGUAAAAAUGGCCUUUCUGCGUGGGAACUUAUCGAGCUUAUUGGAAAUGGACAGUUUAGCAAAGGCAUGGACCGGCAGACUGUGUCUAUGGCAAUUAAUGAAGUCUUUAAUGAACUUAUAUUAGAUGUGUUAAAGCAGGGUUACAUGAUGAAAAAGGGCCACAGACGGAAAAACUGGACUGAACGAUGGUUUGUACUAAAACCCAACAUAAUUUCUUACUAUGUGAGUGAGGAUCUGAAGGAUAAGAAAGGAGACAUUCUCUUGGAUGAAAAUUGCUGUGUAGAGUCCUUGCCUGACAAAGAUGGAAAGAAAUGCCUUUUUCUCGUAAAAUGUUUUGAUAAGACUUUUGAAAUCAGUGCUUCAGAUAAGAAGAAGAAACAGGAGUGGAUUCAAGCCAUUCAUUCUACUAUUCAUCUGUUGAAGCUGGGCAGCCCUCCACCACACAAAGAAGCCCGCCAGCGUCGGAAAGAACUCCGGAAGAAGCAGCUGGCCGAACAAGAGGAACUGGAGCGACAAAUGAAGGAACUCCAGGCCGCCAACGAAAGCAAGCAGCAGGAGCUGGAGGCUGUGCGGAAGAAACUGGAGGAAGCAGCAUCUCGUGCAGCAGAAGAGGAAAAGAAACGCCUUCAGACUCAAGUGGAACUUCAGGCCAGGUUCAGCACAGAGCUGGAAAGAGAGAAGCUUAUCAGACAGCAGAUGGAAGAACAGGUUGCUCAAAAGUCCUCUGAACUGGAACAGUAUUUACAGCGAGUACGGGAGCUGGAAGACAUGUACCUAAAGCUGCAGGAGGCUCUUGAAGAUGAGAGACAGGCCCGGCAAGAUGAAGAGACGGUGCGGAAGCUUCAGGCCAGGUGCCAGAUUUGUUUGCAGACUUUGCCUUUGUGUACUUUGCCUGGGCUAAUACAGUUUCUUGGAAUGACUAACACUCUGGUGGAGAGGGAGAAGUGUCUCUGCUCUGGCUGUGACUGAGCUUGAGGUGCUAUCCAGAUUAGAAAGACCGUGGAGACUCGACCGGCUGGAGUGUUUCUUUUCAUUCCGGGGCGCUGGGAAACCCUUGCUUCUGGAGCUAAAUAAGGGCCUAUUUUAGAGCAGUCUGGUAGGUAUGUUUGAUGAGAUACCCUUAGUCAUAUUCGAGAAAAUCCACAAACCCAGAAUUACCUCUGAUGAGAGCUUGGCAUCUUCAACAUGCUCCAGACCAGAGAGGGCCGUUGGUAUGCAGGCAGGGGCCUGUUGAGGCCAAAGUUGCCGUCAGGUUUUGAGGAAUAAGGAAGAAAUAUGCAGUUUCUAUUUGGUCAUUCAGGAUUGGUAACAUUCCUUCAGUAAUUACUACUUGAAAUCCUAAUUUUAAAAGUAUUUGAAACCUAGAUUUUUUUUCCCCUUAUAACUUUAUGAUAGUCAUAUUCGCAGAUGAAAAUUCUCAAUUUUGGGUCUUCAUAGCAGCAGGGAGGACAAAAUAAAAUGAGGACUCCCAAAGGGAAAAAUUGAGCCUAUCCUCUGCCAGUUUCUACUUUGCUGCCCCGUUUACAUUCUUUCAGGUGUCUGGGAUGGGAGACAACACUAAAAAGUAUUCACUACAGUAGCAGCACAUGGUCCAGUCUUUGAUCUCUGACCCCCUGUUUUGGGGAGCAGUUAUGAGAUGAGCUGGGGUAGAUUUUCCAUGGCUGCCAUUUUACAUGUGGAGCAGCAAAAGAUGUUUCUUUAAUCUUUAGAUAGGAAGAGAAAGAAGAAGCCAUCUUUAGUUGUAUAUUUUGCCAAAAGUGACUUCAAAAAUAAAUAAAUUAUUUUGGACAUUUAGAUUUUAAAUUUAAAUUUUUUUAAGGAAAAAUUAUUUUCUAAAUAGAAAAUUAGGCAUAUAGCAUAUUGCCAGGCAUUUAUAGGCCCCGCAGGUACACAUUCACUGCACUGUGAGGUUAAUCAGGUUCUUGGAACUCCCUUCCAGUGCCACUGGGCAGUGAUUUUAGCAGAAGAUUCACUCUGUGGGAAUGUUUGAGUGCCACGUGACGUCCAGAGUGACAUUCUGUGUGACACUCAACAUUUUUUGAGCCACCUCAUAAUUUGAGCCGUGUUGAGAGUUUUAUAGAUUGUUUUUGUGCAGAGAAUUUGCAGGUGAAAUAUGCUAUAUGUAUUACUGCAGUUUUGUGGGAAGUUGAUUAUGACACAGCAGAGACUAGAUCACAGAGGGAACCAGAUAAUUCUAGAAAUACUAGUCGUAGUUAUUUAGUGUUUAUAGAAUGAGUGAUAUUUUGAAUAAGGGAUAAUUUUGGAUAAUUGAAGCCAGUGGUUUUUUAACCAAUGUUAUAUAUCAGAAUCACCUUACAAAGCUUCUGAAAAAUACACAGAGGAUCACUUGAACCCAGGAGUUUAUGACCAGCCUGAGCAACAUGGUGAAACUUCACCAUU